rnacentral:rRNA from 1 species
CAAUAGCGUAUAUUUAAGUUGUUGCAGUUAAAAAGCUCGUAGUUGGAUUUCGGAUGGGACUUGCCGGUCCGUCGUUUCGAUGUGCACUGGCCAGUCCUAUCUUGUUGUCGGGGACUAGCUCCUUGGAUUCACUUCCUGGGACUAGGAGCUGACGAGGUUACUUUGAGUAAAUUAGAGUGUUCAAAGCAAGCCUACGCUCUGAAUACAUUAGCAUGGAAUAACACGAUAGGACUCUGGCUUAUCUUGUUGGUCUGUGAGACCAGAGUAAUGAUUAAGAGGGACAGUCGGGGACAUUCGUAUUUCAUUGUCAGAGGUGAAAUUCUUGGAUUUAUGAAAGACGAACUUCUGCGAAAGCAUUUGUCAAGGAUGUUUUCAUUAA